UUAAUAGCAGUACUACAUUUGACGUUAGCUGCAGAAGAAGCACCGGCUAACUCCGUGCCAGCAGCCGCGGUAAUACGGAGGGUGCGAGCGUUAAUCGGAAUUACUGGGACGUAAAGCGCAUGCAGGUGGUUUGUUAAAGUCAGAUGUAGAAAGGCCCGGGGCUACCAACCUACGGAAUUGCUAUUUAGAAACUGGACAAACUAGAGUACUGUAGAGGGGGUAGAAUUUCAGGUGUAGCGGUGAAAUGCGUAGAGAUCUGAAGGAAUACCGGUGGCGAAGGCGGCCCCCUGGACAGAUACUGACACUCAGAUGCGAAAGCGUGGGGAGCAAACAGGAUUAGAUACCCUGGAG
rnacentral:rRNA from 1 species